ensembl:snRNA U2 U2 spliceosomal RNA
AUUGCUUCUCGGCCUUUUGGCUAAGAUCAAGUGUAGUAUGUAUCUAUUCCUAUCUCUGCUAUCCGUGUGGAAGUGCAUGUUUUUAAAUGGUGUGUGAGGGUAAAAUAUUAAAGGUGUUGGGAAAUAUAAUUUAGUUUUAAGUGUGGCAUUUUUAAAGGUGCUAAAUGAAGAUACCUGCAUGCCAUCU